GGACCUGUGGUCUAGUGGUUAGGACGUCCGCCUGACUCGCGGGAGGUCCCCGGUUCGAAUCCGGGCAGGUCCA
rnacentral:tRNA from 1 species